AUUGAACGCUGGCGGCAUGCCUUACACAUGCAAGUCGAACGGCAGCACGGGGCAACCUGGUGGCGAGUGGCGAACGGGUGAGUAAUGCAUCGGAACGUACCUUUCAGUGGGGGAUAACGUAGCGAAAAUUACGAUAAUACCGCAUAUUCUGUGAUCAGGAAAGCAGGGGACAGCAAGACCCUGCGCUGAUUGAGAGGACGAUGUCAGAUUAGCUAGGUGGUGAGGUAAGGGGUCACGAAGGCGACGAUCUGUAGCGGUUCUGAGAGGAUGAGCCGCCACACUGGAACUGAGACACGGUCCAGACUCCUACGGGAGGCAGCAGUGGGGAAUUUUGGACAAUGGGGGUAACCCUGAUCCAGCCAUGCCGCGUGAGUGAAGAAGGCCUUCGGGUUGUAAAGCUCUUACGGCCGGGAAGAAAUCGCACGGGCUAAUACCCUGUGUGGAUGACGGUACCGGAAUAAGAAGCACCGGCUAACUACGUGCCAGCCGCCGCAGUAAAAC
rnacentral:rRNA from 1 species